UGGAUUAAUAAAGAACAGAACUAAAAAAGAAUAAUUAAUGAGAAAAAGAAAAAAAUAACAAGAGAGGGUUUAACCCCUUCUGCAGCAAGCAAAUCUAGUUGGAGCGGGGGACUAGAGGCGUCUUGGGAUUGUCUUCGAUGUCUGGAGUAGUUCGACGGCGUCAGCAACAGAGCGAGGAUGGAGACGGCGAUGCUGGCCACUGAUGGCUGACAACGUUAAUUAUAGAGAAGGUCUGGAGGUUGUAUAGGAGGCGUUGUUCGUGGAGAUAUUGGGGUUCAUUGGAAGGUCUCUGGCGUUGAGGGAGGGGUCACCAGAGUGGGUUGGUUGCAUGGCAGUGUGGGUAGCUAUUGUUGGCUACUUUAUCUUCAUCGCUGGUACACCGGAGUGGUGGACGGCGGCGAAAAAUAAAGAGGAAGAGGUGAAGGCGGCUUGAGAAGAAAGAGAAGAGAGGUAGAGAGAGAAAGUAGAGAGAGGGGGUGGAGGC
rnacentral:lncRNA from 1 species